rnacentral:rRNA from 1 species
CGCGUAGGUGGCGCGGGUAGUCGUCAGUGAAAGUUCAGGGCUCAACCCUGAAUCGGCCGGUGAUACUCCCGUGCUUGAGUGUGGUAGAGGCCAAUGGAAUUCCGGGUGUAGCGGUGGAAUGCGUAGAGAUCCGGAAGAACACCGGUGGCGAAGGCGGUUGGCUGGGCCACAACUGACACUGAUGCGCGACAGCGUGGGGAGCAAACA